AACAAAUUGAUGUUUCUCUCUAAAAUCAAUUAAAAACAAAACAAAACUACAACUCUGAAUAUCUGUUAAUAGCUAAAUAAAUUAAAGUGUAUGGCUGUACCAUAAAUUACUUUACAAUCCUCCUUGUAGAACACAGUUCCAAUCUUCCCUAUUAUAAAAAAAUGCCAUAAUAUCUUAUGUAAAAUCUCUUCUGUAAUUAGGAUUGUUUCCUUAAAAGCUAUUGCGAGGCAAAAGAAUAUAAACAUUUGACUCUAUUAUUGAGUUAUGAAUUCUUUACUUAAAACUCCUUUUUUAAUGCUUUUUUUGUGAUCUUUCUUGAUACAUGAAAAUUCUAGAUAUCUGCAUUUACACUUUUCUUGAGGAUAUUGUUUUUACCCUACCCAAUGACUUCAUCUUCAUCCUC